UACGAAGGGGGCUAGCGUUGUUCGGAAUCACUGGGCGUAAAGCGCACGUAGGCGGAUCUUUAAGUCAGGGGUGAAAUCCCGAGGCUCAACCUCGGAACUGCCUUUGAUACUGGGGAUCUCGAGUCCGGGAGAGGUGAGUGGAACUGCGAGUGUAGAGGUGAAAUUCGUAGAUAUUCGCAAGAACACCAGUGGCGAAGGCGGCUCACUGGCCCGGAACUGACGCUGAGGUGCGAAAGUGUGGGGAGCAA
rnacentral:rRNA from 1 species